GGCAAAUAAACCAAAGAACACUACUUUGUUUUUUUCCUAGAACAAAAGAAAUAACUUCUUGGUGCAGAGAUCUCACUUUGGCCUUUUUUUUCACAGCACUGCCUCCCAGGUGUGAUGAAGCCACCAGUCUUUGAUGACCAUUGCAGCCUCUUUUACCAGCCACAAGGUGAUGGUGCUAUAAACCAGUUUAGUUGAGGUAAUGCUCACACUGUUCUGGAGACCAAGCCAUUCUCAAGAGCCAGGAAAUCAGCAAGAGACCUAGGAAAACAAGUUACCUAUAGAGGCUUUAAAUCCAACACUAAGAGAAGCAUUGCUUUAUCUUCAAGAAAAUGUGGCAAGCUGGGAAAUAAGUAAUUCUGAAGGACAGAAACUUCCUGAAUGCACUUUCCAUCUGUCUGGUAGUUUUAUUAGCAACAAUCUGUGAAAAACAAACCUGUGCUACUGACAAGCCCCCAUGCCAGCUCAUUCCCCAGAGUAUCCAUCAAUAAUAUUCUGUGGAAACUAGAAAGAAGCCAGGACUGUGACAAAAGACCAGAGCAGCAAAAAUUUCCUCUUCUGGAAACACACAUCCAUGUCUGUGCUGGGCUACUCUCCUGCAGCUGAAGGCGACUCUGCAAGGUGAUCAACCCUCCUGAACAGCAGUGCUGCACGUGACUGGAAGAGCAGCAUUUCCCUGAACUCUGGGAGCAGCCAAACUCCUUGGCAUUCCUUAAGGGCAGGUGCUGUGAAUUCUUCUGGAGUGUGUACCAUACUUGUUCUGUAGAGUCGAGGGCUAAGAGACAGCAUUGACCAUGUUUAUCUCUCUCCUUUGGCAAAAGUAGUUGCUUCAUUUUGUUCACAUUAUAGUAGGGAUGAGAAGGGAAACUGGGAUGUUUCCACAACACCUUUGGUAGCAAAAAGAAUAAAGACAGGAAAGAGAGGUGACUGAAGAGGAAGAGGGCAUCAAACGGAAAGGAAACUGGAGGUGUCCAAAGAAGUCCCUUUCUUUCCUUAAAGUGUGUGCCUCUGCUAGGAUGUAAAGAAACAGGCAGAGGUAUAUAUUUAAUGGGAAAAUAUAUGUCUUCUCCCCUCCCUCUUCCACUCCCUGCAAGCAACUCAGUCUGGAGUGAGAGUCACAGAUCCUUUAAAGGACAGUGAGAACGCAUUUGCUUCUUCCUAAGGAGAAUGAACGUUGUGUGUAGAGCUGAAGAAAUUGCUAAGAACAGAGGAAGAAAAGAAGUUGGGCAGGAGAUGAGCUGGUAUCAGAGCUUAUAACUGAGCAUAUACAUUGCUCUAUUUCUUUAUUUUGUCUCAUCUGAUGUGGUGACUGAGGCGAGUGUGGUGAGCUCAAGACAU
rnacentral:lncRNA from 1 species